rnacentral:rRNA from 1 species
UGAACUUCGGUUUGGGUGGCGGACGGGUGAGUAACGCGUAAAGAACUUGCCUCACAGAUAGGGACAACAUUUGGAAACGAAUGCUAAUACCUGAUAUUAUGAUUUUAGGGCAUCCUAGGAUUAUGAAAGCUAUAUGCGCUGUGAGAGAGCUUUGCGUCCCAUUAGCUAGUUGGAGAGGUAACGGCUCACCAAGGCGAUGAUGGGUAGCCGGCCUGAGAGGGUGAUCGGCCACAAGGGGACUGAGACACGGCCCUUACUCCUACGGGAGGCAGCAGUGGGGAAUAUUGGACAAUGGACCAAGAGUCUGAUCCAGCAAUUCUGUGUGCACGAUGAAGUUUUUCGGAAUGUAAAGUGCUUUCAGUUGGGAAGAAAAAAAUGACGGUACCAACAGAAGAAGUGACGGCUAAAUACGUGCCAGCAGCCGCGGUAAUACGUAUGUCACAAGCGUUAUCCGGAUUUAUUGGGCGUAAAGCGCGUCUAGGUGGUUAUGUAAGUCUGAUGUGAAAAUGCAGGGCUCAACUCUGUAUUGCGUUGGAAACUGUGUAACUAGAGUACUGGAGAGGUAAGCGGAACUACAAGUGUAGAGGUGAAAUUCGUAGAUAUUUGUAGGAAUGCCGAUGGGGAAGCCAGCUUACUGGACAGAUACUGACGCUGAAGCGCGAAAGCGUGGGUAGCAAACAGGAUUAGAUACCCUGGUAGUCCACGCCGUAAACGAUGAUUACUAGGUGUUGGGGGUCGAACCUCAGCGCCCAAGCAAACGCAUUAAGCACUCCGCCUGGGGAGUACGACCGCAAGGUUGAAACUCAAAGGAAUUGACGGGGGCCCGCACAAGCGGUGGAGCAUGUGGUUUAAUUCGAAGCAACGCGAA